rnacentral:pre_miRNA from 1 species
GUGAGAUGGAAUUACGUUUGGACAUGCGAUUUCAUGCUGAUUCCAUCUCAUGA